GAUGAAGAACGCAGCGAAAUGCGAUACGUAAUGUGAAUUGCAGAAUUCAGUGAAUCAUCGAAUCUUUGAACGCAUAUUGCGCUCUCUGGUAUUCUGGAGAGCAUUCUUGUUUGAGUAUCAGUAAACACCUCAACUUCCAUAUCUUUUUUGAAAUGGGAGUUGGACUUGAGUGAUCCCAACGCUUUUCCUCACCGAAAAGUGGCGGGUUACUUGAAAUGCAGGUGCAGCUGGACUUUUCUCUGAGCUAUAAGCAUAUCUAUUUAGUCUGCCUAAAAAACAGAUUAUUACCUUUGCUGCAGCUAACAUAAAGGAGAUUAGUUCUUGUGCUGACUGAUGCAGGAUUCACAAAGACAGGCUUCGGCCGACUUUGUAAACUCGAUCUCAAAUCAAGUAAGACUACCCGCUGAACUUAAGCAUAUCAAUAAGCGGAGGA
rnacentral:misc_RNA from 1 species